AUGCUAUGAUGAUCACUUCAACUGUGGUUUCAACUCACCGACUGUUGAAUGAGGACAUGAAAUUCCUUGGCUGUGUCUGAGCAU